rnacentral:rRNA from 1 species
GGGAUUAGAUACCCCGGUAGUCCUUGCUGUAAACGAUGGGCACUUAGAUGUUUCCGCGUCUCAGCGGGAUUGUCGAAGGUUACGCGAUAAGUGCCCCGCCUGGGGAUUACGUUCGCAAGCCUGAUACUCAAAGGAAUUGACGGGGGCCCGCACAAGCGGUGGAGCAUGUGGUUUAAUUCGACGCAACGCGAAGAACCUUACCUGGGCUUGAACUGCUGGGUUUAGCUUCCUGAAAGGGAAGUGAACCUGCUUGCAGGAGACCAGCAGAGGUGCUGCAUGGCUGUCGUCAGCUCGUGUCGUGAGAUGUUGGGUUAAGUCCCGCAACGAGCGCAACCCUUGCCUUUAGUUGCCAGCGAGUCAUGUCGGGUACUCUAAGGGGACUGCCACGGAUAACGUGGAGGAAGGUGGGGAUGACGUCAAGUCAGCAUGGCCUUUAUGUCCAGGGCGACACACGUGCUACAAUGGGCGGCACAAAGGGACGCGAAACCGCAAGGUGGAGCUAAUCUUCAAAGCUGCUCUCAGUUCGGAUCGCAGGCUGCAAUUCGCCUGCGUGAAGUUGGAAUCGCUAGUAAUCGCGGAUCAGCCUCGCCGCGGUGAUACGUUCUCGGGCCUUGUACACACCGCCCGUCACAUCACGAAAGUUGGUUAUACCCGAAGUCGCCGGGCUAACCUUUGGAGGCAGGCGCCGAAGGUAUGAUCGAUGAUUGGG